CUCUGGCGGGGACACCGCGGCAGCAGGGAGUGGGCCCUCAGACCCCACUGCGUGGCCGUCGGAGAAACACAUCUGGCCGCACAUCUGCAAGACACAACCUUUAGAAGUGGAUUCUGAAGAACUGACAACUCUGGUUUUAGAGUGGGAAGGGUCACAGAUUCAUCUUCUUACCUUGGCUGCCUGGUGUCUGGAGAGGCAGAGACCCUUUGGAUACCUCCGCACUGCCUCCCACACUCGCCGCCGGGCCCCAGACCUGAACACGCUGCCUCGGACUGCCCGGGCCUCCACACACCGCCCUCCCACCCUGGGGGCCUGACUCCCUGACAGCACUGCUUCAGCCCUCACUGAUCCGCACAGCCGCAGCCCUCUGAAGGCCCGCUCCCGUAGGGACGUGCGCUAGAGUUCCCAGGGGACCUUCCGCAGACAGUACUUCAUGCGCGGAGCACUUUUAGAAUGGAACAGCGGAAAUGGUGCUUUACACGGGGAGCACUACUCUGCUGUGAGGACAAACUGGAGUCGUCUGCAGGAACAGGGGUGCAAGUUGAGAGCAGAAUGUGAAGUGAAAUAAACCAGACACUUACACACUGCACGGGUUCUCUGGCACGGGAGACUCCAAGUACACACAGGGCAAAACAGAACAGGAAGUAGGAGACACAUCUUGUGCAAAUGGAAAGGGACCAAGAGCAGGAGGACGGGGUGGUGGGGGGGGGUGGUAACAAGAACUAGGAUGUGUGAUGCUCACACGCCAACUUGAAAAGAAGGAAAGUACGUAACCGCAACUCUGAAAUGAGACACGGCCACGAAAAUGCACGCCACGGGUUUAUUUUCCUGGGCUUCGACUGCUGAAGAAGCCCACACCCGGGGGGUCCUGACCUGCAAGGCUGCGCUCCCGGCUUGGCACACAUGCAGAGCGCUGCGGCAGGCGCGGGUCAGUGCAGCCCGCCCCCUCAGAAGGUCCUGAAGAGCUGGUUGGGAAGGUAGCCCAGAUG